rnacentral:rRNA from 1 species
UACGUAGGGCGCAAGCGUUAUCCGGAAUUAUUGGGCGUAAAGAGCUCGUAGGCGGUGUGUCGCGUCGGCCGUGAAAACCUGCAGCUUAACUGUGGGCUUGCGGUCGAUACGGGCAUCACUGGAGUUCGGCAGGGGAGACUGGAAUUCCUGGUGUAGCGGUGAAAUGCGCAGAUAUCAGGAGGAACACCGGUGGCGAAGGCGGGUCUCUGGGCCGAUACUGACGCUGAGGAGCGAAAGCGUGGGGAGCGAACAGG